rnacentral:rRNA from 1 species
UCAGCUGCUAGAGUGGCGACCGGCGGACGGGUGCGUAACGCGUAUACAAUCUGCCUCAUACAGGAGAAUAGCCCAGAGAAAUUUGGAUUAAUGCUCCAUAGUCUUUCUCUCUCGCAUGGGAGAGUUUGUAAAGCUUCGGCGGUAUGAGAUGAGUAUGCGUCCUAUUAGCUAGUUGGUAAGGUAACGGCUUACCAAGGCAACGAUAGGUAGGGGUUCUGAGAGGAUGAUCCCCCACACUGGUACUGAGACACGGACCAGACUCCUACGGGAGGCAGCAGUGAGGAAUAUUGGUCAAUGGGCGUAAGCCUGAACCAGCCAUCCCGCGUGAAGGACGACGGCUCUACGAGUUGUAAACUUCUUUUAUAUACCAAGAAAAGUAGCUACGCGUAGUUAUCUGACGGUAGUAUAUGAAUAAGCACCGGCUAACUCCGUGCCAGCAGCCGCGGUAAUACGGAGGGUGCAAGCGUUAUCCGGAUUUAUUGGGUUUAAAGGGUUCGUAGGCGGUAAUAUAAGUCCGUGGUGAAAUCCUGCAGCUCAACUGUAGAACUGCCAUUGAAACUGUAUUACUUGAGUAUACUUGAGGUAGGCGGAAUAUGUAGUGUAGCGGUGAAAUGCUUAGAUAUUACAUAGAACACCGAUUGCGAAGGCAGCUUACUAAGGUAUAACUGACGCUGAUGAACGAAAGCGUGGGGAGCGAACAGGAUUAGAUACCCUGGUAGUCCACGCCGUAAACGAUGAUUACUCGCUGUAGGCGAUACACAGUCUGUGGCUAAGCGAAAGUUUUAAGUAAUCCACCUGGGGAGUACGAUCGCAAGAUUGAAACUCAAAGGAAUUGACGGGGGCCCGCACAAGCGGAGGAACAUGUGGUUUAAUUCGAUGAUACG